rnacentral:rRNA from 1 species
AGCGAACGCUGGCGGCAGGCUUAACACAUGCAAGUCGAGCGGGCAUCCUUGUGGUGUCAGCGGCAGACGGGUGAGUAACGCGUGGGAACGUGCCCUUCGGUUCGGAAUAACUCAGGGAAACUUGAGCUAAUACCGGAUACGUGCGAGAGCAGAAAGGUUUAUCUGCCGAAGGAUCGGCCCGCGUCUGAUUAGCUAGUUGGUGAGGUUAUGGCUCACCAAGGCGACGAUCAGUAGCUGGUCUGAGAGGAUGAUCAGCCACACUGGGACUGAGACACGGCCCAAGCUCCUACGGGAGGCAGGAGUGGGGAAUAAUGGAAAAUGGGGGCAACCCUGAUCCAGCCAUGCCGCGUGAGUGAUGACGGCCUUAGGGUUGUAAAGCUCUUUUCUCCGGGACGAUAAUGACGGUACCGGAGGAAUAAGCCCCGGCUAACUUCGUG